UCCUCUGCAUAAUCAACAUUUGUUAAGGCCAGACUGCUAACUACCUUCGUAACUUCAAGUAGGACGUGGAAGAGUCUCGCUGCUGUUUGAGUUUGAUUCAUGGUUCACCUCAAGUAAACAAGCUGAUCUGAAGCGGCCUGGACUGGCAGCUGUGGGACUGCCCUGUCCCACCAAGCAGCAUCAGUGAGUGGAGAUGGACCCGUCUGAUGAUGUGGGGGACCCCGGUCACACACUCUAGACCGGGGAGCUGAAUAAUCCCCAAGCUCCUGAGGGCUGCAGUGCACAGAAGGACCCCUCACCCACAGACUUGCUGAG